GUGAGGAAUAUUGGUCAAUGGACGCAAGUCUGAACCAGCCAAGUAGCGUGCAGGAUGACGGCCCUAUGGGUUGUAAACUGCUUUUAUGCGGGGAUAAAGUGUGGGACGUGUCCCAUAUUGCAGGUACCGCAUGAAUAAGGACCGGCUAAUUCCGUGCCAGCAGCCGCGGUAAUACGGAAGGUCCUGGUGUUAUCCGGAUUUAUUGGGUUUAAAGGGAGCGUAGGCUGUUGCUUAAGCGUGUUGUGAAAUGCCGCGGCUCAACCGUGGCACUGCAGCGCGAACUGGGCGGCUUGAGUUACCGGUAGGCAGGCGGAAUUCGUGGUGUAGCGGUGAAAUGCUUAGAUAUCACGAAGAACCCCGAUUGCGAAGGCAGCUUGCCGUAGGUUGACUGACGCUGAUGCUCGAAGGCGCGGGUAUCGAACAGGAUUAGAAACCCUAGUAGUCC
rnacentral:rRNA from 1 species